GGCCUCCGCUGCUUGUGUGUUAUAUGUAAGAGGUAGACAUAAUGUAGUUAGUCUCAUUUUAAAUACCGAGAUGAAUACCGUGCAUAGUUCUUUGUUUGGUGUUAUACUUUGCUCCACAGAAGUUCUGUUCUAAAGGUCUUCUAGUAAUAAAUCUAUUUCCUGUGAUUACGAGAUUUCUGAAGUUUGUUUAUGGAUCACUUUUUCUUGGAAGAACUAUACAGAUCCAAGAAGUUUCCCUAUAAUCAAUGUUUGAGACUCUACUACAUAAAGUUUGAAUAUGCUAGAUUUGAAAAUCUAUUACUUGCAGAAGAAUGCUGCUUAUCAUUAUCAGAUAUAAACUGGAUCCAAGAAGCUACUUUAAAACUGUUAUUUGACUCUACUACAGAAAGUUUGCUUAUGCUGGAUUGAAAAAUAUAUUCCUUGCAGAAGAAUGCUAGUUAUCAUUAUCAGAUAUGCAUGGGCUUUGUAUUGAGUACUUCACCGUCAUAUCGUAUCCCUGGGAACAUCUUCCGAGAUCUCCAUUUCUGACUAGAUGUCCAUGUUUGCCAUAAUCUUCGUUACUGACCUACUUGCCACGAGGGCCGUAGUCUGCCAAGAUCUCCGUUACUGACCUAGUUGCCACGAGGGCCGUAGUCUGCCAAGAUCUCCGUUACUGACCUAGUUGCCACGAGGGCCGUAGUCUGCCAAGAUCUCCGUUACUGACCUAGUUGCCACGAGGGCCGUAGUCUGCCAAGAUCUCCGUUACUGACCUAGUUGCCACGAGGGCCGUAGUCUGCCAAGAUCUCCGUUACUGACCUAGUUGCCACGAGGGCCGUAGUCUGCCAAGAUCUCCGUUACUGACCUAGUUGCCACGAGGGCCGUAGUCUGCCAAGAUCUCCGUUACUGACCUAGUUGCCACGAGGGCCGUAGUCUGCCAAGAUCUCCGUUACUGACCUAGUUGCCACGAGGGCCGUAGUCUGCCAAGAUCUCCGUUACUGACCUAGUUGCCACGAGGGCCGUAGUCUGCCAAGAUCUCCGUUACUGACCUAGUUGCCACGAGGGCCGUAGUCUGCCAAGAUCUCCGUUACUGACCUAGUUGCCACGAGGGCCGUAGUCUGCCAAGAUCUCCGUUACUGACCUAGUUGCCACGAGGGCCGUAGUCUGCCAAGAUCUCCGUUACUGACCUAGUUGCCACGAGGGCCGUAGUCUGCCAAGAUCUCCGUUACUGACCUAGUUGCCACGAGGGCCGUAGUCUGCCAAGAUCUCCGUUACUGACCUAGUUGCCACGAGGGCCGUAGUCUGCCAAGAUCUCCGUUACUGACCUAGUUGCCACGAGGGCCGUAGUCUGCCAAGAUCUCCGUUACUGACCUAGUUGCCACGAGGGCCGUAGUCUGCCAAGAUCUCCGUUACUGACCUAGUUGCCACGAGGGCCGUAGUCUGCCAAGAUCUCCGUUACUGACCUAGUUGCCACGAGGGCCGUAGUCUGCCAAGAUCUCCGUUACUGACCUAGUUGCCACGAGGGCCGUAAUCUGCCAAGAUCUCCAUUACUGACCUAGUUGCCACGAGGACCGUAAUCUGCCAAGAACUCCAUUACUGACCUAGUUGCCACGAGGGCCGUAAUCUGCCAAGAACUCAAUUAUUGACUAGUUGCCACGAGGAUCGUUUCCUACCAAGAUGGCCUACUUUAGUUGCCUUGUCGUCACGACAUAACAGAAGCGCUCACUGUACGUUACUUCAACUAAACAAGAGGUUUAUUUUAUAUUCUCCUUGAAUGAUAUGAAAAUUCUACUCUUAUUUUAUGGAUAUUUAAAUUUCUCCUAAGAAUUGAGCUAUAUAUUUUUUAAUUAAAUCUAAAUCCAGACUCAUAAGUUAUAUGCAAUUUUAGGUACCUUUUUCUAAAAUUUAUUUCAAAGCUUUUUUAAACAUACAGAAAAUUUAAAUCUUAAUAUUCUUUUUAUUUAUCAUACAGAAAUUUUUAUUCAUUAAUUUUAUUCAUAUUUACCCAUUAAAUAUCUAAAAUUAGUUGCAGUUAGUCUUAGUGUUUGCAAAUCGAGUGCACCUUCUCGAAUAUCUCGGCUGUGUAUUAUAUAUACGUACUGUUAAUAGUCUUAAAAUUUUUAAGGCAAGCUUAUUGUUAGCUAUUACUCGUUAUCAGCUAUGGCUUAAUAUUUAAGAAAAAUUAACUUUCAACGCUAAAGAACUAAUUUCAAUUUUUUGGUACUUUUGCGUUAAACUGUAAAAGAAGCUAAAAUCUAAAGCUUUAAUAUUGAAAGGAAUUUUUUGAGUGCCAGUUAAAGUUGCGUUUCAAAGCAUUAAAUUCAGGGAAUUGAAAAUUAAAGUACUUUCGUCAAAUUCUCAGACUGAGCAUAUUUAGAUAAAUAGAACAUUAGAUCAAAUUUUUUGGUAUUACUAAUUCUUAAAUUAUCCCUUCUCCACUAAAUACGUUAUUAGAUACGUGUUUCAGAUUAAAGAAUCGGUUGAAGUAAAUGUGCUAGUUUCAAAAUCCACGUUUAAAAUACACUUAAUCAAUUUGAAAAUUUAAAGCAUAACUUGAGUAAAAAAUGAUUUAAUGAAACGUUUAAUUGAUAAAAUUCACAACUCCAAAUUUAUGAAAAUAUACUAAAGUAACUCUCAAAUUUGUUUUAAUUUUAACAAAUCAAUGUGAGCAGGGGAAAAUCGGUAUAAUUAAACUCUCAUUUUAAAUUUCAGAACUCUUAUGCAGUAACGUGAUGUUUGGAUACCAAAAAACAAUAUGCAUUAUCGCACAUUUUGUUACCUAAAUAAAGCAAACUAUCAAAUUGAUAGCAUUGAAUAAGUCCUACCUCAUUAGUAAUGUAUUAUUAAGUACCAGUUUUAGUAUUUAAGGUAACGUGUAUACUGUUCCAAGUAACAUUUUUAUAUGAUAAUUUCAGAAUCUUCCUGUGUAAUCAUCGCUUAUAUUAUUUAAAACCCUUAAGGCUUAAGACUCGCUGUCACAUCAAAACUCCACAUUUUUCAAAAUUUCUUUUCGCCCUAAUUUUUUUCCUCCAAUGACAGGCACUGAAUUUGAGUCUUUGCCUAUACUA